rnacentral:rRNA from 1 species
UACGAAGGGGGCUAGCGUUGUUCGGAGUUACUGGGCGUAAAGGGCGCGUAGGCGGCCCUCCAAGUCGGGUGUGAAAGCCCACGGCUCAACCGUGGAAUUGCACUCGAGACUGAAGGGCUCGAGGACGGGAGAGGAUGGUGGAAUUCCCAGUGUAGAGGUGAAAUUCGUAGAUAUUGGGUGGAACACCGGUGGCGAAAGCGGCUCACUGGCCCGGUUCUGACGCUGAGGCGCGAAAGCGUGGGGAGCAAACAGG